rnacentral:ncRNA from 1 species
UUAAAGCUUGGCUCUGACUUUAAACAUAAUAAAGAACUAAAGAAUACACAUGGUUUUUAUAGAAUGAGGCGAGGAGAAGAAAAAACAUAUAAAAUUAAAAAAAUUAACUUCUGUAUUUUCUUCCUGGUAUUAUAGAGUUAGAUGAUACUUUGAAAUGUCCCGCUAACACCAGUGCUGAAUGUUAAGAAAAGAGCGGAAGCUUGGAUUAAUUUAGUUCAGAAAAUCUGGUUAACUUGGUGCCAGCAUCCGCGGUUAAACCAAGAAGAUUAAGUUAUGUAUUUUCGGUGAAAAGAUAGUUAAGCAAGAUAAGAAGUUUUUUAAAUUGUUAUUGAGAAGUAAAAUUCGCAAAUAACCUAGAAACUUAGUCAAAACUAAAAAACUGAAGCUAUGACACCCUAGAGGGAAACUGGGAUUAGAUACCCCACUAUUCUUGGAUGUAAAAAGAUAUAAAUUUACCAGAGUACUAUGGAUUGAUAACAUUUAAAACUCAAAGAGCUUGGCGGUGUUUUAGACUCUUUAGGGGAACCUGUCUCAUAAUCGACAAUCCGCGUUGAACCUGACCUUUAUUUGUAUAACAGUUUGUAUACCGUCGUCGUCAGGUAACUUUUUAGAAAAGAGAAGUUAGCAAUUGAGUUCAUAAUAAACUCUUACGUCAGAUCAAGGUGCAGCUAACAUAAGGGGGAGGAUGGGUUACAAUUAUAAAAAUUAUAAAUACGAAAUAACAGCUUUAAACAGCAGUCAUGAAGGAGGACUUAAAAGUAAAAUAAAAUAGAUAAAUAUAUUGAAUUGAGCUCUGAAACGUGCACACAUCGCCCGUCGCUCUCGUUGAAAAACGAGAUAAGUCGUAACAUAGCAGGGGUAAUGGAAAUUGCCCCUAAAUU